AUGGCGCGCAGGCUGCUCUCCCCCUCGGCCUCCACCUCCGCCCGCUUCCUCCUCUCCCGCCACCUAUCCUCCGCCCCUUCUUCCUUCCCGCGCGGCGGCGCCCCGGCGGCGCUGAUGGACAUGCUGCGCCCGGCGGCCGUCGCCCCCCAAUCCUUCCAUCAGCUGAUCCGCAAUGCUGUAGGUGCACCACCCCUCUCCCGCUCCAGCUUCUUACACACGAUCUGCGGUGCUACGUUUCCUACUGGUUGCUCAAAUUUGGUGAUGGCUGAAAUUGUGCGUUCGCCGCUGGUUGUUUCUUUGCAGGGGAUAUCGACCACGAGGAGCCUACUUGCUGAUGAUGAUGCAAUGGUCCCUGUUUCUUCCCCGUUGUCGUCGCCGUUGGGGGCUGCGGAAGGGACCGACAACAAGGGAGCAGUGGUGAAGCGGACGAAAGUCCAAGCCAUCAAGAAGGACAUCAAGCAGAGCCCCAAGAAGGUAAAUCUGGUAGCCAAGCUGGUUCGAGGAAUGCGCGUGGAAGAUGCCCUUUUACAGUUGCAAGUGACGGUUAAAAGGGCCGCGAAAACAUUGUACCAGGUUAUCCAUUCUGCUCGUGCGAACGCAGCUCACAACCAUGGACUGGAUGCAGAUAAACUUAUUGUGGAAGAGGCUUUUGUGGGAAAAGGACUUUAUCUUAAGAGGUUGUCUUACCAUGCCAAAGGGAGGUGUGGUGUCAGGGAGAGACCUAGGUGCAGGCUGACGGUGGUGGUCAGAGAAGCCACAGCCGAGGAGGAAGCCAAGAUUGCGAAACUCAGGGUCAUGAACUACAAGAAGCUCACCCGGAAGGAGAAGCAGCUCAUGCCGCACCGGCUUAUCGAGGUCAGCCCCAAGUGGGCUCGCAAAAGGAAAGAGGAGGAGGAGGCUGGUGCUUCAGCGUAG
rnacentral:rRNA from 1 species